AGAGACUAGCUUUGGAACUGAUAAACCUUCUAUUGGAAUUUCAAAAAGUGGAGGGAAUUAAUAAAUCUCAUAAUGAGUAUUGGGCGAUCUCAAUCUAACCUUCUAUUGGAAUUUCAAAAAGUGGAGGGAAUUAAUAAAUCUCAUAAUGAGUAUUGGGCGAUCUCAAUCUCAUGAUUUAAGUAUAGCACUAUUGCAAGAUGGAUUGGGUCACAUCACAAAUGGUUUCAGAAAUUUAUCCAAAAAAUUGAAUGAUGCUGUCCAAUGGUGUGCACAAUGCUAUACAAUAUAUACAAUGUAGCAGCAGAUAAAGUUGAUUGUGAUAGUACAAGGCCACAAGCUGAAGAUGUCUACUUGGCAAAGAAUAAAAGGUUGAAGGAAAGGGA